rnacentral:rRNA from 1 species
AGAGUUUGAUCAUGGCUCAGAUUGAACGCUGGCGGUAGGCCUAACACAUGCAAGGCGAACGGUAGCACAGAGAGCUUGCUCUCGGGUGACGAGUGGCGGACGGGUGAGUAAUAUCUCGGGAUCUACCCUUUAGAGGGGGAUAACGUCUGGAAACGGACGCUAAUACCGCAUAACGCCUACGGGCCAAAGCGGGGGACCUUCGGGCCUCUCACUAAGGGAUGAACCGAGAUGGGAUUAGCUAGUAGGCGGGGUAAAGGCCCACCUAGGCGACGAUCCCUAGCUGGUCUGAGAGGAUGACCAGCCACACUGGAACUGAGACACGGUCCAGACUCCUACGGGAGGCAGCAGUGGGGAAUAUUGCACAAUGGGCGCAAGCCUGAUGCAGCCAUGCCGCGUGGAUGAAGAAGGCCUUCGGGUUGUAAAGUCCUUUCGGUGGGGAGGAAGGCCAUGUGGUUAAUAACCGCGUGGAUUGACGUUACCCACAGAAUAAG